CCUACGGGCGGCAGCAGUGGGGAAUAUUGGACAAUGGGGGCAACCCUGAUCCAGCCAUGCCGCGUGUGUGAAGAAGGCCCUCGGGUUGUAAAGCACUUUCAGUGAGGAAGAACGCCUGGUGGUUAAUACCCAUCAGGAAAGACAUCACUCACAGAAGAAGCACCGGCUAACUCCGUGCCAGCAGCCGCGGUAAUACGGAGGGUGCGAGCGUUAAUCGGAAUUACUGGGCGUAAAGCGCGCGUAGGUGGCUUGAUAAGCCGGUUGUGAAAGCCCCGGGCUCAACCUGGGAACGGCAUCCGGAACUGUCAAGCUAGAGUGCAGGAGAGGAGGUAGAAUUCCCGGUGUAGCGGUGAAAUGCGUAGAGAUCGGGAGGAAUACCAGUGGCGAAGGCGGCCUUCUGGACUGACACUGACACUGAGGUGCGAAAGCGUGGGUAGCAAACAGGAUUAGAUACCCCAGUAGUC
rnacentral:rRNA from 1 species